rnacentral:rRNA from 1 species
UACGGGGGGAGCAAGCGUUGUUCGGAAUCACUGGGCGUAAAGGGAGCGUAGGCGGCAUGGUAAGUCAGAUGUGAAAUCCCGGGGCUCAACCCCGGAACUGCAUCCGAUACUGCCUUGCUUGAGGGUUGGAGAGGUGACUGGAAUUAUCGGUGUAGCAGUGAAAUGCGUGGAUAUCGAUAGGAACACUCGUGGCGAAGGCGAGUCACUGGACAACAUCUGACGCUGAGGCUCGAAGGCUAGGGGAGCAAAAGGG